AUUGAACGCUGGCGGCAUGCUUUACACAUGCAAGUCGAACGGUAACAGGCUUUCUGGUUCUGACGCUCGGCUAACGGGCGAGUAAUACACCGGUACGUACCCAGCCGUUGGCUAUAACGCAGCGACAGCUGUCCUAAUACCGCACGUGAUCUGAGGUUGAACUCCGUGGACCGAGCAGCAAUGUUUGGCCUCGCGCCUUUGGACCGGCCGAUGUCGGAUUAGCUAGUUGGUGGGGUAAUGGCCUACCAAGGCGACGAUCCGUAGCUGGUCUGAGAGGACGACAGGCGACACGGGGAGUGAGACAGGGCCAAGAGGACUACGGGAGGGAGCAGAGUGGAAUGUUGGACAAUGGGCGCAAACAUGAUACAGCAAGGCGGCGUGCGGGAAGAAGGCGUUCGGGGUGUAAUCAGGUUUUGGGAGGAACGAAACGGUGUCCGCUAAGACCGGGCGCUAAUGACGGUAACGGGAGAAUAAGCACCGGCUAACUACGUG
rnacentral:rRNA from 1 species